GACGUAGGGGGCAAGCGUUGUCCGGAUUUAUUGGGCGUAAAGAGCGUGUAGGCGGCCUGAAAGGUCAGCUGUGAAAACUCGAGGCUCAACCUCGAGACGUCGGUUGAAACCAUCUGGCUAGAGUCCGGAAGAGGAGUGUGGAAUUCCCGGUGUAGCGGUGAAAUGCGCAGAUAUCGGGAAGAACACCCGUGGCGAAGGCGGCACUCUGGGACGGUACUGACGCUGAGACGCGAAAGCGUGGGGAGCGAACAGG
rnacentral:rRNA from 1 species